rnacentral:rRNA from 1 species
UACGGAGGGGGCUAGCGUUGUUCGGAAUUACUGGGCGUAAAGCGCGCGUAGGCGGCUUUGUAAGUUAGAGGUGAAAGCCCCGGAGCUCAACUCCGAAUUGCCUUUAAGACUGCAUCGCUAGAAUCAUGGAGAGGUGAGUGGAAUUCCCGAGUGUAGAGGUGAAAAUUCGUAGAUAUUCGGAAAGAACACCAGUGGCGAAGCGACUCACUGGACAUGUAUUGACGCUGAGUGCGAAAGCGUGGGGAGCUAACAG